RRAAUUUAAUGGUCGAACAGACCAAUAUAUUAAGCUCCUGCACCUAAUAAUUUUCUUAAUCCAACAUCGAGGUCGCAAUCCUUAUUAUCAAUAUGAACUCUCCAAUAAUAUUACGCUGUUAUCCCUAAGGUAUCUUUAUCUUUAUUCCAUAAUAAUAGGAUCAAUUAACCAACCAUCAUAGUAAAAUAUAAUAGAAGUUAAAUUAUUCCCUUGUCACCCCAACAAAACAUUAUACAAUAAAACAUAUUAAAUACCCCCUAAACAUAUAUUUUAAUAUAAUAAUAUUAAGAUCUAUGGGGUCUUCUCGUCCCCUGUUAACAUUUAAGCUUUUUGACUCAAAAAUAAAAUUCAAUUAAUUACCCUGAGACAGUUAUUGUUUCGUCAAACCAUUCAUUCCAGCCUCCAAUUAAAAGACUAAUGAUUAUGCUACCUUUGCACGGUCAAUAUACCGCGGCCAUUUAAUUACUCAGUGGGCAGGCACGACUUCAUAUCAAUUCAAGAAGACAUGUUUUUGUUAAACAGG
rnacentral:rRNA from 1 species